rnacentral:rRNA from 1 species
GACGAACGCUGGCGGCGUGCUUAACACAUGCAAGUCGAACGGAAAGGCCCUGCUUUUGUGGGGUGCUCGAGUGGCGAACGGGUGAGUAACACGUGAGUAACCUGCCCUUGGCUUUGGGAUAACUUCAGGAAACUGGGGCUAAUACCGGAUAGGAGCUCCUGCUGCAUGGUGGGGGUUGGAAAGUUUCGGCGGUUGGGGAUGGACUCGAGGCUUAUCAGCUUGUUGGUGGGGUAGUGGCUUACCAAGGCUUUGACGGGUAGCCGGCCUGAGAGGGUGACCGGCCACAUUGGGACUGAGAUACGGCCCAGACUCCUACGGGAGGCAGCAGUGGGGAAUAUUGCACAAUGGGCGGAAGCCUGAUGCAGCAACGCCGCGUGCGGGAUGACGGCCUUCGGGUUGUAAACCGCUUUCGCCUGUGACGAAGCGUGAGUGACGGUAAUGGGUAAAGAAGCACCGGCUAACUACGUG